GCCCUUUUCCGGUUGAUCCUGCCGGAGGCUAUUGCUAUCGGUGUCCGAUUUAGCCAUGCGAGUUGCACGUUUAACGUAGCAAACUGCUCAGUAACACGUGGCCAAACUGCCCUAUGGACUGGGAUAACCUCGGGAAACUGAGGCUAAUCCCGGAUAGCACAUCCGUCCUGGAACUGGAGGAUGUGUGAAACGUUCCGGCGCCAUAGGAUGUGGCUGCGGCCGAUUAGGUAGACGGUGGGGUAACGGCCCACCGUGCCGAUAAUCGGUACGGGUCAUGAGAGUGAGAGCCCGGAGACGGACUCUGAGACACGAGUCCGGGCCCUACGGGGCGCAGCAGGCGCGAAACCUUUACACUGCACGAUAGUGCGAUAGGGGGACACCGAGUGCGAGGGCAUAGAGCCCUCGCUUUUGUAGACCGUAAGGAGGUCUACGAAUAAGGGCUGGGCAAGACCGGUGCCAGCCGCCGCGGUAACACCGGCAGCCCGAGUGAUGGCCGAUAUUAUUGGGCCUAAAGCGUCCGUAGCUGGCCGCGCAAGUUCGUCGGGAAAUCCACUCGCUUAACGAGUGGGCGUCCGGCGAAAACUGUGCGGCUUGGGACCGGAAGAUCCAAGGGGUACGUCCGGGGUAGGAGUGAAAUCCCGUAAUCCUGGACGGACCACCGAUGGCGAAAGCACCUUGGAAGGACGGAUCCGACAGUGAGGGACGAAAGCUAGGGUCUCGAACCGGAUUAGAUACCCGGGUAGUCCUAGCCGUAAACGAUGCUCGCUAGG
rnacentral:rRNA from 1 species